GUCUCCGUAGUGACCUGCGGAGGGAUCAUUA
rnacentral:rRNA from 1 species